rnacentral:misc_RNA from 1 species
GCCGACGAUCACCCAGCUGUUAAUCACCGUAAAGAUUUUCGUUUGGGGAAUUGUUGCUUGAAUUUUCUCCUGAUUCAAAACCGUGUUGAUUUGUUAAACACGUUUAGUCAAAAUGAAAACUCUGUAACCCAGGCUCUAUUUUAGGCUAACAUUCUUUUCUCUUCUCCAUCUCACUUUUCGUUUCUGCAUCGAUUUGAAUCUUUAGCUUGAUUCUCACUCUCGUUCUCUGCGAUUUCUAGAGUUUUUCCUUUGCAGCUCUCUAUUUACUUUGGUUGUCUAUUGAUUCUCG